UUUCUUUCUUUCUUUCUUUCUUUCUUUCUUUAUUUUUGGUACUGGGGAUUGAACUCGGGACCUUGUACUUUCAAGGCAGGCAGCAGAACCACUGAGCUAAAUCCCCGGCCCUCAUUCCUUCUUUUAAAAUUGGCUCCAGCAUUAAGUUUCAUGAAACCAUUCCCAACGCCCCUAGGCUGACCUAGGUACCUCCCAAAUGUUCUUAUAUUUCUAUCACUGUGUUACCAUACCUUGAGAAAACCAACCUUUGUCACGUGUCCCUCCACAAGAACAUGUGCUUAAGAUGAGAGAGAGUCUAAUCUAACUGUGUGUGUCCCAGUGUCAAUGUCUAUUAAAUAGUGGAUAAAUAAUAAUUGUUGAAUGCUUUUCAGCGGAAACAACUAAAAUACUCAUGGCAACAAGAACAGUAAUGAUAUCAAUAUUUAAUCCCUAGCUCUGUGGUCAGCAGGCUGAUAGUUUUCAAUUGUGUACACUCCUUUCAUGUCACCAUCACAGCACCUAGACCUAGUUCAGUGCUCUGCUGGUCCGGAGUAGAGGCUGAAAGAGUAUUUUCUUCAGGUGAAUUAUAAGAACCGGAGGUUAGUUCUUCCAUAUGCAUAGCAUAGAAAAAAUUUACAGUAAGAAGUAAAAUCAGUUAUUUAACAUCUCUAAGCUUUAUUUGUCUUCAGCUGUAAAAAUAAUGCUUAUAUUAUCUGUCUUGAAGGAUAAUUUCAAUAGUUUGUGAAAAGCCUUCUAACACAGCUUGGAACAUUACAACCAUUCUUUAAAUGUUAGAUUGAAUUAUGAAGAGCAGCUACAGCCUAUUGUUCAUAUGGGAAAAUCCUGUAAGUUUCAAAAGUAAAUGCAAUUUUGAAUAGAAUUUAACCAAUCUAUUUCAUUUAAUUUCAAAACAUAUCACUUACCUAUGUUCCGAAGAUAAGUGAUCGUCAUCUCUACAAUUCUUCACAGCUAAACGAGAAUUUAAAAAAUCACAGUAUAAGUGGAACAAAUUCAGGCUAAUCAAGUUUCAUCAUAUUAAAAUAUGGAACUGUGUGAUAUUUACCAAAUUUUAUCCUUUUCUGGUGACUAUCUUCACUCUAUUUCAAGGAAGAAAAUAAAAUGUUAGAGAAAACAAUCCAAACAUUAAAAGUUUUACAAUUUUACAAAUUGUUCUUAUGUGUGAUUUUGAAAAAUAGAGGAAGGAGAAGUCAACCCUAUGUAUUUACCUUCUGGGAACACGUACGUGAAGGUCCCUUUUUCAGCUGCACAGUCUCCUUGUGAAAGGAUGUACGAAUGUUUAGGAAUAUUAACCCAAAAGUAACUAGUAGGAAAAGUAUAAGGAAGAUUGUCACCCAGUGAUUUUGAAAAAUCCAGGACUUUAGAAAGUCCUGCAGCAUCAGAAGUGUAUUAACUUCCAAUACACUCCUGAUUUUAUUUUCGAAGAAAUCGUACAACUUGGCAUUGUGACAUAGCCUGUGAAACAGACUGAUAUUCAGAAGUCCUUGCCAAAACAUUUGUAUGCUCAUCUUUUUGGCAUAUCCAAGCCCUGCCAGAAAACAUACUGUCCUGAGCUAGGCAGUGCCUCAAAUGCAGCAGUGAGUGCUCUGGGCUUCAGUUAAGUGAGGCACAGGUCAUAGUGGGGAUUAAGUUACCUCACAGCAGCUUCAGCAAUCAUGAAGGGUCACUGGUGAGUCAUGGACAGGACAUGGACAGCGCAGUAGCUUUUUAUUUCACAAGUUAUCUUCUAUUAAUUUUGUUAAAAGCAACAUAAUUCUAUAUACAAUCUCAGUGUAAUUGUGUUGUCACUGUCUUACAAUUAAAAACAUAUAAAUAAAUUUGAAUUGGUAGAAAGCAUUUGAUACAAUCAUUUCAGUUACCACCACUAAUACUGUAUUUUAUGCUUCUUUGUAAUCAGAAAAAUCUGGUUCUGUUUUACAAUGAAUGUAAGGUUGACGGAUUCGGCAAAUGAAAAUUCUGGAUGUCCGAUUUAAUUUGAAUGGUAGAUAAAUACCAAAUAAUAUUUUUAGUAUACUUAUGUCCCAUCACCAUAGGUAGGACAUAAGAUAACUUGUCCCUUAGGAGCCUGCCUGAAUUCCUUUUCUUAAAAUAGAACACUUAAUAUGUUUCUUUUUGCUAGAGGGCUCUGUUGGCAAGUUCCCCUUCAACAAUCUAUUGAUGUGUUUUAAGCCACAGUUAGACGUGGUGAAUUUAUUUCCCUUCUGCAACGUUGAUGGUGAUUUCAAGAAACUACUUGUGAUGUCCUUUCUGGUAUCAGGAUUAAGGGUGAUGCAGAGGAAGCUCUUGGUACUGCUCACUUGCCUAAAUCUGGAGGGUAGGCCUGGUAUUAUACCGACCAAACAGAAUUUUAAUUAUAAGAAGACAAGACAUUCUGGACUAGCAAUGAAAAAUGUUCACGCUACUUCGGAUAUGGAGUCCUUUUCGUUUGAAGAUGUAACUAAUGAGUACAAUGAUAUCUCAGUUGUCAAAUGAAUCCAAGCUCAAACUUGCCACUUUUUCUAAACAGGUUCAAGAAAAAUCUUCUGGGUGUUAGUAACUUUGCUCGAUAUUCAAACUGAAAAUCAAACUUGAAAAAACCUGUACAGUCUGAGAGUGAGUCCUGCAACACAUCUCGCCGCAGACACAGAGGGCUGAUGCAUCAGUCUAAGUGCCAUUCUUGCUCAGACAAGUUGCAGGCAUCCUUGAGUGCAGCCAAGAUAAAAUGAGCUCCUCCUUCUCCAGUAUUGGGGAUCAUGAGAUGAAUGGUACAUUCUAAACAUCACAAUUUAGAGUCUUGCAGUCCACUAACUAGAGGUAUUUAGAGUCUUUACUCAGGUGUAAUUCUGAUCUUGGGUUUUAUUUUCCAAACUAUAUAGUAAGUACUCACAACUUUUAGAAGAAACUUUAUGGCAAUUCUUUUGAAAACCUCAAGUACUACAGUAUAGUAUAUCUUCCUUGCUGGCCUCUCCACACUUACACGAUAGGAAGAUUUUUUAUUUUAUUUUAUGUUUUGGUACUGGGGAUCAAACUCGGGUCCUUGCGCUUGCGCAGCAGGCAGCGAAACAGGAAUGAUUUUUUUAAAAAAGCUUUUAUCUUUUUUUUUUGUAUUAAAUUCUUUUAUUGGCACAUUGUAGGUACACAAUACAAUUACAUUUCUCAUUGGGAAUAGUAUCUUUAUAUAAUGCAUCUUGGUUCUUAUUUUUUCCCCAUUCUUAGCCCUCCCUUCAUGCCCUCCACCCUGCCCUAUUUACAAAGACUUUAUUUCCAUUUUUUCCAUUUCUCAUCAUUUGUCCUUUCCCUUCUUUCCUUUCCCCUGCCCCUGCCCCUCCCACUACCCCUACCCCUUUGGAC
rnacentral:lncRNA from 1 species